ACUCAAAUGAAUAGACGGGGGCCCGCACAAGCGGUGGAGCGUGUGGUUUAAUUCGAUGCUACGCGAAAAACCUCACCUAGGCUUGACAUCCCUGGAAUCCUCUUGAAAGAGAGGCGUGCCCCUUCGGGGGAGCCAGGAGACAGGUGCUGCAUGGCUGUCGUCAGCUCGUGUCGUGAGAUGUUGGAUUAAGUUCCGCAACGAGCGCAACCCUUGCCGCUAGUUACCAGCAUUAAGUUGGGGACUCUAGCGGGACUGCCAGCAAAAACUGGAGGAAGGUGGGGAUGACGUCAAGUCAGCAUGGCCCUUACGCCUAGGGCUACACACGCGCUACAAUGGCCGAUACAACGCGUUGCGACCCUGCGAGGGGAAGCGGAUCGCUUAAAGUCGGCCCCAGUUCGGAUUGGAGGCUGCAACCCGCCUCCAUGAAGUCGGAAUCGCUAGUAACCGCCGAUCAGCACGCGGCGGUGAAUACGUUCCCGGGCCUUGUACACACCGCCCGU
rnacentral:rRNA from 1 species